rnacentral:rRNA from 1 species
CCCUUAGAUGUUUUGGGCCGCACGCGCGCUACACUGAUGAAUUCAACGAGUACCUAACCUAGGCCGAAGGGUCUGGGUAAUCUUUGAAAUUUCAUCGUGAUGGGGAUAGAUUAUUGCAAUUAUUAAUCUUCAACGAGGAAUUCCUAGUAAGCGCGAGUCAUCAGCUCGCGUUGAUUACGUCCCUGCCCUUUGUACACACCGCCCGUCGCUCCUACCGAUUGAAUGGUCCGGUGAAGUGUUCGGACCGUGGCCUUUGGACGGUUCGCCGUCUGUUGGCUGCGGGAAGUUCGUUAAACCUUAUCAUUUAGAGGAAGGAGAAGUCGUAACA